GAGUCAGAGAUCAAGGUGGUGUGAUGGAACGUCCUUUUUGUCCCUUUCUCCCAGCUUCUGGUGGCUCCUUUGUUUGCAGACGCAUCCCCCCCCAAUCUCUGUCUUCACCUUUAUAUGAUAUUCACCCGGUGUGCAUACUCAUGUUCAGAUUUCCCCUUUUUAUAAGGACACCAGUUGUAUUGGGUUGAUGGUCCACUCUGCUCCAACAUUACCCCAUCUUAACUAAUUAAAGGUGCAACAACCCUAUCCCUAAAUAAGAUCACAGUCUGAGGUACAGGGAAUAGGAAUUCAGAUGAAUGAAUGAAUUUGGGAGGAAUGCAAUUCAACUCCUAACGAUCCCCGAUGCAAGCGAGCCAGCCGCCUCUGGUCACUGGCUCCUUGCCUGCUCAGUCUCUAACUAGACUGCUUUUCCCAUCUUCCUUCUUCAUUUUCUCUUUGCUCACUGCCGUAAGGAAAACCAUGACUCUCCUGAAGAGAGAGACUCUUCCUUAUAAUCUGCUGCUGGGGCCUUUCCCGAAAACUACAGAGCAAUAUGAAUCUCUCCUUUUACUGUCCACUCAUUUCACCGCACGCAGAAACUACCACCUGGACAAUGCAUUUUCCACCUCAUCAUCAUCAGAGAAAGGAUGCUCAGUCUGA
rnacentral:lncRNA from 12 species